rnacentral:rRNA from 1 species
UACGUAGGGUGCAAGCGUUAAUCGGAAUUACUGGGCGUAAAGCGUGCGCAGGCGGUUAUGUAAGACAGGUGUGAAAUCCCCGGGCUUAACCUGGGAACUGCAUUUGUGACUGCAUAGCUAGAGUACGGGAGAGGGGGAUGGAAUUCCGCGUGUAGCAGUGAAAUGCGUAGAUAUGCGGAGGAACACCGAUGGCGAAGGCAAUCCCCUGGACCUGUACUGACGCUCAUGCACGAAAGCGUGGGGAGCAAACAGG